rnacentral:tRNA from 1 species
GGCUCGGUAGCUUAGUUGGUAGAGCGCUCGUCUAGCAUACAAGAGUCGUGGGUUCAAAUCCCAGCCGAGCAC